UGGGUAAUCUUGUGAAACUUCAUCGUGCUGGGGAUAGAGCAUUGCAACUAUUGCUCUUGAACGAGGAAUCCCUAGUAAGUACAAGUCACUAGCUUGUGCUGAUUACGUCCCUGCCCUUUGUACACACCGCCCGUCGCUACUACCGAUUGAAUGGCUUAGUGAGGCCUUCGGAUUGAGAUUCGGAGACUGGCAACAGACUCUUGGUUUUGAAAAGUUGGACAAACUUGGUCAUUUAGAGGAAGUAAAAGUCGUAACAAGGUUUCCGUAGGUGAACCUGCGGAAGGAUCAUUACCGAUUUUUAGCGGACCUGAUCUUUGAUCAUGGUCUCGUGAAAACUUGUAUUUAAAACCCCACUCUUAUAAAUUGAAUCAUUUUAUAUGUAUAUAAUAAAUAAAGAUCACUUUCAACAACGGAUCUCUUGGCUCUCGCAUCGAUGAAGAACGUAGCGAAGUGCGAUAAGUAAUGUGAAUUGCAGAAUUCCGUGAAUCAUCGAAUCUUUGAACGCAAAUUGCACUCUCUUUGGAGAGUAUGCCUGUUUGAGGGUCAGUAUUAAUAAAAAUCGGCGUGUUGCUCUUUUGUGACGUUCCGGAGUUUGGGUCAUCUUAUAACAACACCCUUUCAGGGUAUUUUUAAGAGGCUUAAAAUUGACCUUUUUUUGUGCAUUUUUAGACGUACAUAAAUUUUUUUUUAUUCGUUUAUCUUAAUGCCAAAUCUAUUAGAUGCGACCAUAUCGUGUGGUUUCGUGUCUAUAAAUUUUUCAUGAUUUGACCUCAAAUCAGGUAAGGACACCCGCUGAACUUAAGCAUAUCAAUAAGCGGAGGAAAAGAAAAUAACAAUGAUUCCCCUAGUAACUGCGAGUGAAGAGGGACAAGCUCAAAUUUUAAAUCCAUCGGGUUUUACCUGAUCGAGUUGUAAUUUGAAGAAGCGUUUUCUGCGUAUUUGAUCAGCCUAAGUCCUAUUGAAUGAGGCAUCACGGAGGGUGAUAAUCCCGUCCGGUUGAUCAUUUGCGUUUUACGAUACGCUUUCUAAGAGUCAAGUUGUUUGGGAUUGCAGCUUAAAAUGGGAGGUAAAUUUCUCCUAAGGCUAAAUAACGGCGAGAGACCGAUAGCGAACAAGUACCGUGAGGGAAAGAUGAAAAGAACUUUGAAAAGAGAGUUAAACAGUACGUGAAAUUGUUGAAAGGGAAACGAUUGAAGCCAGUCGUACCUUCGGGUAAUCAGCCUUUCGGGUGCGAUUCUGUGGAGUUUGAGGAGCUUUAACACCUUCAUGCUUUGCAUAUUCGUGCUCUUGGGUGUACUUGCCCGUGUGGUUGGUUAACAUCAAUUUCGGGCACCAUAAAAUGGCUGGAGGAAUGUAGCUUCGAUCUUGUAUUGAAGUGUUAUAGCCUUCGGUAGAUGUGGUGAUCGAGAUUGAGGAUUGCAACGGAUACCUUUCGGGGCUACCUGUCUGAUCUCUGAUCGUUGCUUUGGUGCUGAAAGCGUGCUUAUAGUUAUCAAAGUCGAUGGUUAAUAGGUUAGAAUGGGUUAAAUUCGUUAAGGAUGUUGACGUAAUGGCUUUAAACGACCCGUCUUGAAACACGGACCAAGGAGUCUAACAUAUAUGCGAGUGUUAGGGUGAUUAAACCCUUACGCGUAAUGAAAGUAAUUUUGGUGGGAACACUUUUGUGCACCAUCGACCGAUCAGGAUAUUUUUUGAUAGAUUUGAGUAAGAGCAUAUCUGCUAGGACCCGAAAGNUNNUGAACUAUGCCUGAAUAGGGUGAAGCCAGAGGAAACUCUGGU
rnacentral:sRNA from 1 species